UACGUAGGGGGCUAGCGUUGUCCGGAUUUAUUGGGCGUAAAGAGCGUGUAGGCGGCCAUGUAGGUCCGGUGUGAAAACUCGAGGCUUAACCUCGAGAUGUCAUCGGAAACCAUUUGGCUAGAGUCCGGAAGAGGAGAGUGGAAUUCCUGGUGUAGCGGUGAAAUGCGCAGAUAUCAGGAAGAACACCAGUGGCGAAAGCAGCUCUCUGGGACGGUACUGACGCUGAGGCGCGAAAGCGUGGGGAGCGAACAGG
rnacentral:rRNA from 1 species